rnacentral:rRNA from 1 species
GACGAACGCUGGCGGCGUGCUUAACACAUGCAAGUCGAACGGAAAGGCCCGGCUUUUGUGGGGUGCUCGAGUGGCGAACGGGUGAGUAACACGUGAGUAACCUGCCCUUGACUUUGGGAUAACUUCAGGAAAUUGGGGCUAAUACCGGAUAGGAGCUCCUGCUGCAUGGUGGGGGUUGGAAAGUUUCGGCGGUUGGGGAUGGACUCGCGGCUUAUCAGCUUGUUGGUGGGGUAGUGGCUUACCAAGGCUUUGACGGGUAGCCGGCCUGAGAGGGUGACCGGCCACAUUGGGACUGAGACACGGCCCAGACUCCUACGGGAGGCAGCAGUGGGGAAUAUUGCACAAUGGGCGGAAGCCUGAUGCAGCAACGCCGCGUGCGGGAUGACGGCCUUCGGGUUGUAAACCGCUUUCGCCUGUGACGAAGCGAAAGUGACGGUAACUGGUAAAGAAGCACCGGCUAACUACGUG